CUAACACGUGCUAUAACAUGCCCUAAGGUGGGGGAUAAUCUCGGGAAACUGAGGAUAAUACCCCAUAGGUCUUCUAUGCUGGAAUGCUCGAAGGCCGAAAACUCCGGUGCCUUAGGAUUGGUCUGCGGCCUAUCAGGCAGUAGUGGGUGUAAUGGACCCACUAGCCCGUGACGGGUAUGGGCCUUGAGAGAGGGAGCCCAGAGAUGGACUCUGAGACAUGAGUCCAGGCCCUACGGGGCGCAGCAGUCGCGAAAACUUCGCAAUGGGGGCAACCCCGACGAGGGAAUUCCAAGUGCCAGCACUUUGUGUUGGCUGUUCUCUUGUCUAAAAAACAAGAGGAGUAAGGGGCGGGUAAGACGGGUGCCAGCCGCCGCGGUAAUACCCGCGCCCCAAGUGGUGGUCGAUAUUAUUGAGCCUAAAACGUCCGUAGCCGGUCUUUUAAAUCCUUGGGUAAAUCGGGCAGCUUAACUGUCCGACUUCCGAGGAGACUGGAAGACUUGGGACCGGGAGAGGUCAGAGGUACUUCUGGGGUAGGGGUAAAAUCCUGUAAUCCUGGAAGGACCACCGGUGGCGAANGCGUCUGACUAGAACGGAUCCGACGGUGAGGGACGAAGCCCUGGGGCGCAAACGGGAUUAGAUACCCCGGUAGUCCAGG
rnacentral:rRNA from 1 species